UACCAUGGUGGUAACGGGUAACGGGGUGUUAGGGCACGACACCGGAGAGGGAGCCUGAGAAACGGCUACCACAUCCAAGGAUGGCAGCAGGCGCGCAAAUUACCCAAUCCCGACACGGGGAGGUAGUGACAAUAAAUAACAAUACGGGGUUCUUUAGGAUCUCGUAAUUGGAAUGAGUACAAUUUAAAUCUCUUAACGAGGAACAAUUGGAGGGCAAGUCUGGUGCCAGCAGCCGCGGUAAUUCCAGCUCCAAUAGCGUAUAUUAAAGUUGUUGCAGUUAAAAAGCUCGUAGUUGAAUUUCGGGGUCAGUAGGUCGGUCGUGCCACUGGUAUGAACUGGUUUUACUGAUUCCUCCCUCUUGAAGAACUGUAAUGCCAUUAAUUUGGUGUUGCAGGGAAUCAGGACUGUUACUUUGAAAAAAUUAGAGUGUUUAAAGCAGGCUUUAGCUUGAAUACAUUAGCAUGGAAUAAUGAAAUAGGACGUUUGAUCCUAUUUUGUUGGUUUCUAGGAUUGACGUAAUGAUUAAUAGGGAUAGUUGGGGGCAUUAGUAUUCAAUUGUCAGAGGUGAAAUUCUUGGAUUUAUUGAAGACUAACUACUGCGAAAGCAUUGGCCAAGGAUGUUUUCAUUAAUCAAGAACGAAAGUUAGGGGAUCGAAGACGAUCAGAUACCGUCGUAGUCUUAACCAUAAACUAUGCCGACUAGGGAUCGGAUGAUGUUAAUUUUUUAAUGACUCAUUCGGCGCCUUACGGGAAACCAAAGUGUUU
rnacentral:rRNA from 1 species